rnacentral:rRNA from 1 species
UACGGAGGAUGCAAGCGUUAUCCGGAUUCACUGGGUUUAAAGGGUGCGUAGGUGGGCAGGUAAGUCAGUGGUGAAAUCUCCGAGCUUAACUCGGAAACUGCCGUUGAUACUAUUUGUCUUGAAUAUUGUGGAGGUAAGCGGAAUAUGUCAUGUAGCGGUGAAAUGCUUAGAUAUGACAUAGAACACCAAUUGCGAAGGCAGCUUACUACACAACGAUUGACGCUGAGGCACGAAAGCGUGGGGAUCAAACAGG